AUGGCCAGGCCAAACAUGAAACCCAUUGUCCUGCUCUUCCUAAAGCUCCUCCUCAUCGGCCUUAGUGCACCACAGCUCAUCGCUGGCGAUGAAACCCAGAAGUUUGUCUAUUCUGGCUUCGCUAGCGCUAACCUCACCCUCGACGGCACAGCCUCAGUCACGCCAAGCGGGCUGCUCGAGCUGACCAAUGGCACGGUCAUGAGCAUGGGUCACGCCUUCCACCCGGCUCCGCUGCGCCUCCGCGACUCGCCCAACGGCUCGAUACAGUCCUUCUCCGCCUCCUUCGUGUUCGGCAUCAUCUCCAUCUACGACGUGAGCAGCCAUGGCCUAACCAUGUUGGUCGCACCGAGCAAGGAUUUAUCCAAGGCGAUGCCAGUACAGUACUUGGGCCUCUUCAAUGGCUUGAACAACGGCAACACAACCAACCAUAUCUUUGCUGUUGAGCUCGACACAUGGCAAAACGCUGAGUUUGGCGACAUCGACUACAACCAUGUCGGUGUCGACAUCAACGGCCUCAGCUCCGAGAAGUCCCACACGGCUGGUUUCUUCCAUGACCAGAAUGGCACGUUCGAGAACUUGACUCUUGGUAGCCAAGAGGCGAUGCAGGUCUGGGUGGACUACGACAGAGAGAAGACGCAGAUUGAUGUUACCAUGGCUCCUCUCAACAUGACCACCAAGCCCAAGAGACCAAUAGUGUCCGCCAGGUACAACCUCUCUGCUGUGCUCAAAGAUGUGGCAUACAUCGGCUUCUCAUCUUCAACAGGCACGAUCAAAACACAGCAUUAUGUGCUCGGUUGGAGCUUCGCCAUGAAUGGUCCUGCCCCAGUCAUCAAUCUCUCCAUGCUUCCAAAGCUUCCACGCGAUCAUCCCAAGGGUCGUCGAUCCUGGGUCUUAGACAUAGUUCUGCCGGUAGGAACGGCAGUGGUCCUCCUGUCUUUGGGGGCCAUUGCGUUCCUCCUUGUGAGGAGGCAUUUCAGGUAUGCGGAGGUACGAGACAACUGGGAGGUGGAGUUCGGCCCACACCGUUUCUCAUACAAAGAUUUGUAUCAUGCAACGGGAGGAUUUGAGGACAAAAACCUUUUAGGAGUUGGAGGAUUCGGGAGAGUGUACAAAGGGGUGCUUCAGAAAUCAAGAUUGAAGAUAGCCGUGAAGAGGGUGUCACAUGAUUCCAAGCAAGGCAUGAAGGAGUUCAUUGCAGAAAUCGUCAGCAUAGGCCGCCUUCAAAACCGAAAUCUUGUGCCGUUGCUUGGCUAUUGUCGGCGUAAAGGUGAACUCCUCUUGGUAUAUGAGUACAUGCCCAAUGGAAGCCUUGAUAAGUACCUGCAUGGCAAAGAGGAUAACACAAUAUUGAGUUGGGCUCAACGGUUUCAGGUCAUCAAAGGAAUUGCAUCUGGCUUGCUUUAUCUCCACGAGGAGUGGGAGAAAGUGGUUGUUCAUCGAGACAUCAAGGCAAGCAAUGUGCUCCUUGACAACGAGAUGAAUGGGCGAUUGGGUGAUUUCGGCCUUGCAAGGCUGUAUGACCAUGGCAUCGACCCAGACUACACAUGUGGUUGGCACCAUAGGCUACCUAGCUCCAGAGCUGGCACGCAGCGGAAAUGCCACUCCUCCUACUGA
rnacentral:rRNA from 1 species